AUGACCUAGAGUUGAAAGCCGAGUGCAUGUUACAGAGUUUACCAUAGUUUGCCAGUGAAAGGGAUGAAAGAAUGAAGAUACGUACUUGUUAACUCUUGCAUAAGGGAUUUGGACAGUAUAGGGAUGAGCUAGAGUAGAAAGUCGAGUGCAGGGAGGCUGUGGGAGGGAGUGGAGACAUAUAUUAGCAAGUUCAGAUGUGCAGUCAGCAUGAAAAUAUCGAAAGAAGAGAAAGAAAGAUGAAGAAAGAUUAGAGAAAGGCAACAUUGCGGAAUUCUAAUAAAACAACAAAUACCAAAAUGUGUUUCAGAAGCGCAGUCAGCCUGAAAAUAUCGAAAGAAGAUUAGAGAAUACAAGAGAAAGAAUGAAGAUUGGAGAAUACAAGAGAAAGAAUGAAGAUUGGAGAAUACAAGAGAAAGAAUGAAGAUUGGAGAAUACAAGAGAAAGAAUGAAGAUUGGAGAAUACAAGAGAAAGAAUGAAGAUUGGAGAAUACAAGAGAAAGAAUGAAGAUUGAAGAAUACAAGAGAAAGAAUGACAAUUGGAGAAUACAAGAGGAAGGCAACAUGGCGGAUUUCCUAAUAAAACACCAGAUACCAAAAUGUGUUUACUAAUAUAAUCUGUACAAAAGCCAGCGCUGCCUCGAAAAGAGCAGCGCGCAUGGCAGUGUUCCGAAGAGCUGCGGAGAGCGGGGAAACAAGGUCACCGUAACGAAAAAUAAGGUCACACUACGAAAUAAUGAAGGAAUUAAAGUAUUGCCAAGAUGCUGCAUAAUAUCCGACACACACUCUCUGUUUCAUGUCUUUUUUGCGACGAUAAUAAAAAUCCCCAACUGUCAUUUUAAUUACCAUCAUCAUUGUUCAUUUUUAUUUCUGGUUCCGUCCGUUAAUCUUUAUUCUACCCCAAAUUAGCUUAACGGAAGGUCGGUUUCGAAAUUUCGUAUGUUCCGUCGAAGCCUUACGAAAAAUUUUACCGAGAUCUUUUCUAAUUUUAUUCUACCCCAUAUUAGUUUAACGGAAGGUCGAUUUCGUUUUUUUGUAUGUUCCGUCGAAGCCUUACAAAAAAUUUUAGCGAGAUCUUUUCACCGAGUCCGCCGAUCGAAAGGUUCAGAAAAUAUAGAUAUUGCGUCAUUUGCAUAUAUAUAAGUAUGUAUGUAUGUAUGUAUGUAUGUAUGUAUGUGUCUAGGUAUAUAUUGAAGUCGAUCUCUCUCUCUCUCUCUCUCUCUCUCUCUUACACGCACUCAGAGUUUACAAUAUAUAGAGGUAUGUUAGGUUAGGUUAGAAGGGAAUGGAAGGAAAGGAAAGGGAGGAAGGGAAGGGAAGGGAAGGGAAGGAAAGGAAAGGGAAGGAAGGAAGGAAGGGAGGUUAGGUAAGGUAUGGUAAGGUUAGGUUGUUAGGUAAGGGAAAGGAAGGGAAGAGAAGGGAAGGAAAGGAAGAUUAGAUUAGGUUAGGUAAGGUUAGGUUAGGUUGUUAGGUAAGGGAAAGGAAGGGAAGAGAAGGGAAGGAAAGGAAGAUUAGAUUAGGUUAGGUAAGGUUAGGUUAGGUUGUUAGGUAAGGGAAGGGAAAGGAAAGGAAGAUUAGAUUAGGUUAGGUUAGGGAAGGGAAUGGAAGGGAAGGGAAAGGAAAGGAAGGGAAGAGAAGGGAAAGGAAAGGAAAGGAAAAGGAAAGGAAGAAAGGUAAGGUAAGGUAAAGUAAGGUUAGGUAACAUAAGAUUAGGUAAGGUAAGGUAAGGUAAGGUAAGGUAAGGUUAGGUAAGGCAAGGUAUGGUUCGGUACAAGCAAUAAAUAAUGACUUAUCUCAAUACUCCUCAAGUCUUCCAAACCCUCGACACGUCUCGUCAGAAUAAAUAACACACCCACUCACUGCUACAUCAAACAUCUACGUACAAGGUUCCGUCACUCCCUUCACGUCAAAACCAACACACUCGACUUAACGUAACAAGAUAAAACAGGGAAACAGGAUGAAUACGAGGGAGGGAGCGACACAGGAAUUUGCAUAACGUUCGUACAGACACACACACACACAUUCAGUUAGCAUACAAGAGUGUACGUAUAUGCGUGUGUGUGUGUGCGCGUGUGUGGGAUUAGGUUUGAGGUAACUACACAAAUAUAUAUGCAUGUAUGUAUGUACGUAUGACCAAGGGAAAUCGAAUACACAUACAAAUACAGAUACGUAUAGAAAAAACAUCUCGUUCGGUCAGUACGUAAUAAGCGAAUGGAAUAAGUGGAAGGGAGAGUAAGGGAGAGAAAGUAUAUGAGUGAGUGAGUUAAUGAGUAUAAUAACAUAACCAAGGUCUUCAACAUAUCGAACUACGGAACUUGUUCAAAUCCAUUACGUAAAUGAACAAAAAUCGAACUUCUCUUACGUAAUGAGAUAGAAAGAGAGGGAGAGGGAAAGAGAGAGAGAGAGGGAGAGCAUAGCAACUUCCUAACUGUCUUCUUCUUCUUCUUCUUCUUCUUCCUCUUCUUCUUCUUCUUCUUUAACAUGACAGUCCAAACUCCCUUCUCGGCAAACGUAAUAUCUGUCUGUGGGUCUUCAAUAGGACGUAAAGAACCACCUGUCUGUCUGUCUGUCUGUGCCUGUCUGUUACGCCUCACCGACUAACCGUACACACACACACACACACACACACACACACAUACAUACAUACAUACACAUACACUUUGGCAUAUUUCUGGCAGGAUAGCUGGUUGGAGGAGGAGGAGGAGGAGGAGGAGGAGGAAGAGAAGGAGGAGGAGGAGGAGGAGGAAGAGAAGAAAAGGGAGAGAAAAGGGUGGAGAAAAAAGAUAAAUGAAGAUGAAAAGGAAGAGGAGGAAGAGGAGGAGGAGGAGGAGGAGGAGGAGGAAGAAGAGGAGGAGGAGGAGGAGGUUUUAUUUAAUUAUCACAGUGGCAAAUAAUAAUAUGGAAGCCUGUAAACACACACACACACACACACACACACACACACACACACACACACAGACA